CUACUGGGGGUAGAGCACUGUUAAGGCUAGGGGGUCAUCCCGACUUACCAACCCUUUGCAAACUCCGAAUACCAGUAAGUACUAUCCGGGAGACACACGGCGGGUGCUAACGUCCGUCGUGGAGAGGGAAACAACCCAGACCGCCAGCUAAGGUCCCAAAUUACUACUAAGUGGGAAACGAUGUGGGAAGGCUCAGACAGCCAGGAUGUUGGCUUAGAAGCAGCCAUCAUUUAAAGAAAGCGUAAUAGCUCACUGGUCGAGUCGGCCUGCGCGGAAGAUGUAACGGGGCUAAGUAGUAAACCGAAGCUGCGGCAAUAUACUUUUGUAUAUUGGGUAGGGGAGCGUUCUGUAAGCGGUUGAAGGUGUGUGGUAACGCAUGCUGGACGUAUCAGAAGUGCGAAUGCUGACAUGAGUAACGAUAAAGGGGGUGAAAAACCUCCUCGCCGGAAGACCAAGGGUUCCUGUCCAACGUUAAUCGGGGCAGGGUAAGUCGACCCCUAAGGCGAGGCCGAAAGGCGUAGUCGAUGGGAAACGGGUUAAUAUUCCCGUACUUCUUACAAUUGCGAUGGGGGGACGGAGAAGGCUAGGUGGGCCUGGCGACGGUUGUCCAGGUUCAAGUGCGUAGGCUUAAGAGUUAGGUAAAUCCGGCUCUUUUUAAGGCUGAGACACGACGUCGAGCACCUACGGGUGUGAAGUCAUUGAUGCCAUGCUUCCAGGAAAAGCCUCUAAGCUUCAGAUUGUAAGGAAUCGUACCCCAAACCGACACAGGUGGUCGGGUAGAGAAUACCAAGGCGCUUGAGAGAACUCGGGUGAAGGAACUAGGCAAAAUGGUACCGUAACUUCGGGAGAAGGUACGCUCUCGACGGUGAAGUCCCUCGCGGAUGGAGCUAUUGAGAGUCGCAGAUACCAGGUGGCUGCAACUGUUUAUUAAAAACACAGCACUGUGCAAAAUCGUAAGAUGACGUAUACGGUGUGACGCCUGCCCGGUGCCGGAAGGUUAAUUGAUGGGGUUAGACUUCGGUCGAAGCUCUUGAUCGAAGCCCCGGUAAACGGCGGCCGUAACUAUAACGGUCCUAAGGUAGCGAAAUUCCUUGUCGGGUAAGUUCCGACCUGCACGAAUGGCGUAAUGAUGGCCACGCUGUCUCCACCCGAGACUCAGUGAAAUUGAAAUCGCUGUGAAGAUGCAGUGUACCCGCGGCUAGACGGAAAGACCCCGUGAACCUUUACUACAGCUUGGCACUGAACAUUGACCCUACAUGUGUAGGAUAGGUGGGAGGCUUUGAAGCACGUACGCCAGUAUGUGUGGAGCCGUCCUUGAAAUACCACCCUUGUAGUGUUGAUGUUCUAACGUCGACCCCUUAUCGGGGUUGCGGACAGUGCCUGGUGGGUAGUUUGACUGGGGCGGUCUCCUCCCAAAGAGUAACGGAGGAGCACGAAGGUGGG
rnacentral:rRNA from 1 species